UUCAAACAUCCCCAAGCCUCGUCGGGCAAAAGUCAAGCAUACUGACUUAACUGAAGACAAUACUUAAUACACUUGGUCCAUUCGAUUCCCAUAAUCUCCUUGCCAAGCAGUUGGGCAAUUCUUCCAUUGGCAGUGUAUACAAUCGAUGCUUCCAAUCAUUCCUGGGAAACCUCGAGCCUCGGUUUUUUGUACAAGCCUUCAGAGGUCUCUAGUCGUAAGAUUGUGAAGGUACUCCCUCUUGUAGAGAUUUUCUACUGCAUCAUAGAAUCUCACCAAGCACUCUAGGAUAGUUGAUUUUUCCAUCCGCGCAAUCUCAUCCACCUACUCUGCAGAUGCCCCAUAAGCAAGCAUCCGUAAAGCAGUUGUAAGUUUUUGCUCUAGAAGAAGACCCAAAACCCCAACAGCAUCAUACUUCUGAACGAAGUAUGUGUCACAAUUGCAAAUAUCAUGCAUGAUUUUUUGAAACAAAUAAGGCUGGAUUCUAUAUCUAUCUCAAAAAUAAGACACAUGAUAUAACGAAUUUAGGAUAAAGUUAUCUUCCAAGAGAUUCUUACCCCGAGGCUGCCUAUGUCUGUCCACGUUCGGGCCACGACGACUGUGGUGUUGCCUUGAUUCAUUGAGCAUACACACUGCUACAACCAUUUCUUCCUCCUCUUCAUCGACCUCACGAUCUUUUUCAGCACGCUGCGCCUGAUUUCUUCCUCUUCUCGCUCUUGCCUCUCCAACACCCUCAUCAUGUUGGACAUUGAGAGUAGAAUGUGUUUUGUAAAAUUUGAGAAAUGAAAGAAUAGAGAAGAUAUGGUGUGAGAGAUAG
rnacentral:lncRNA from 1 species